rnacentral:lncRNA from 1 species
AAAUUUAAAAGUUGAGAGUUGAAAAGAUCUGACUAAUGGGCUGCAAUCCGAUAGACAGGAAUGUCAUAUAGAAACCCAAAUUUCCCUUGGACUUUAAAACCACACAACAAUCAAUAUACAAAUAGAAAGUUGAAGAGCAAGGCAUCAAAUAAAGAUAGCCACGUCCAAGCUUAGCAACUCCAUGAUCUUCUUCCAGUUUUGCCCAUGUAGCAAAUGAAUUUCAAGAUGGCACAAAUCACAGGUUCA